GACGUAGGGGGCAAGCGUUAUUCGGAAUCAUUGGGCGUAAAGCGCGUGUAGGCGGCUCGAUAAGUCUGCUGUGAAAGUUCAGGGCUCAACCCUGAAAUGCCGGUGGAAACUGUCGGGCUAGAGUCCGGAAGAGGCGAGUGGAAUUCCUGGUGUAGCGGUAAAAUGCGCAGAUAUCAGGAGGAACACCAAUGGCGAAGGCAGCUCGCUGGGACGGUACUGACGCUGAGACGCGAAAGCGUGGGGAGCAAACAGG
rnacentral:rRNA from 1 species